GCACUGUUGAGGAGUCCCACAAUAGGACAAAACGGCCUUCCAGUGC
rnacentral:hammerhead_ribozyme from 1 species